UCUUGGCGGUGCCUUUUGGGCAAGUAGGCUGUUGCUAUUUGUAGAACUGAGCCAAAGGCCAGCCCCUUCCCAUGUGGCCUCUCCACUUCCUUGCUCUCUGCAGUGGCAUCAGCUUUUAUUCCUACAGGCAGGUGGAGGCAAGAAGGAGGAUGGGUCAGAGGCCCAAAUACAGGCCUGUGGAUCACCAAAACCCAAGAGCUUGCCACUCCUGACUCCCUGCAAAGCCCAAGAUUCAUAGCUACCUCUUGGAAAGUUUUGAAAAAAGAGGAUUUUCUUGUCUCAAAGGUCCCUCUGGCCCGGAGGCUGUUGAAUGAGGACUCUUUUCAGAGUGAAAGAAGGAAGUGGGGGUUGGAAGAGUGACUGAAGAUGAAGCUGGAAAGGUAGAACCUGAUCAUGAAGAGUUUAUGUACCAUGGCCAAGAGUUUGAAUCUGACUCCAAGAGCAAGGGAGCCAGAGGAAGCCUGCAGGCAAAAGUGACAUGAUGGCAUUUGUGUGUUGGAAAGAUAACUGGUGGCAACAAAGACAGUGGAGAAGGUCUGUGACUUUGGUGGUGGUGAUGGAGCUAGACUAGAUGGGAAAGCCAUUUUGGAAGAAAUGAUGUAAUAUGGCGGCUAAUGAGAUGGGAAGGGAGAGGGUGCUGUCAGAAAAGGCAACAUGCAUAUGUACAGCUGUUAACGUGCUUUCCCAUAAACCUACUUACCUCACUCUCAUAAUAGUUUUCUGAGCAAGAUAUUAUAAUCAUUAUCAUUUCAUAUGUAAGGAAACUGAGAGGGAGGUUAAGCCAAAGGCUAUAUAUGUAGUGAGUGGUCAAAUCAGAACACAGGCCAUCGGUUCCCAAUUCUGCCUCUGUCUCUUAGGUCACACUGCCUCUCAAGGUUCAGUGGGCAGUCCCUGCAGAGUGGGAAGCAGUCUGCGACCAGGGGUGGACGUGUGCCGGGCCCCCAGGUUGUACAAUCUCCCCGGUUGCUAAGAGUCUCUGAUAAUUAGAGUCCCCAGGUUGCUAGGAGACCUGGGUUGCUAGGAGUCUCAGUUUAUUAUAGGUCUUGGGUUGUUAGAAGCCGCAGGUUAUUCAAUUUUUCAAUUUAUUAAAGGCUUCAUGGUUCUCAAAGGCCCCAAGUUAUUAGAAUCAUCAGUUAUUAGGGGCCCCAGGCUCUUAGGGCUCUAAGCUCUUGAAAUCAUUGGGCUGUUAGCCCACCCUGGUUGCUAGGAAUCUCAGGAUUUUAGAGGCCUUCAGUUUGUAGAGGCUUUAAGCUUUUGAAGGCGUCACUUUGCUGGAAGCCUCACUUUUCAACAUAUCCAGCUUGUGAUGGGUCCCAAAGUGCUAAGGACCCGAGCGCAGAUUUUUCGGUCCCGUGGCUUCCCAAAGUCGUGAGCCAAGCACGUGGAUUUCUUCCUCCCAUUCGGCCUCUUUCGGUCUGCUCAGAUGAUAGUCUAACUGCAGCUUUGGGUUUUCCUCCGGGGGUUUCAUCCUGGGUGACCUCCUUCAGCCCCACAGCUGCAUGGACCUGAUUUAUUCUGCUUGGGGUUCUAACCGCUUAGGCACUGGUUGGAAGGCCUUUAGAGCAGAAACUUGGUGCGAUUUCUAGAUAAGCCAGAUAUUGAAGCACACUUGGGUUAUGCUUCUAACAUUCACCCUCUAGCUAGUCGGUUUUAAGUAAUCUUAAAUUAGACUUUGCGAAAAAUUCCAGAGUUGAUUGCCCCUUUAUUUACCAUUAUUUUACUAGCUUGGUCAGAACCAGUAAAACUAGCCUGUGCAUGUUUCCUUUUGAAAACACUUUUUAUUAUCAAAUAAUUAGAGACUCACUGAAAGUUGCAGAAGUAGUAGAGAGAGAGCCCUUAUACCCUUCAUUCAGUUUCCCCCCAUGGUUACAUCCUCUAUAACUAUAGUAUACUAUCAAAAUUGGGACAUCCACUUUGCCACAAUGUGCGUGUGUCAUCCUAUGUCACUUUAUUCAAAAAUACUUUUUAACGUUUAUUCAUUUUUGAGAGACAGACACAGAGCACGAGUGGGGGAGGGG